AACGAACGCUGGCGGCGCGCCUAAUACAUGCAAGUCGAGCGAGAAGACGUAGCAAUACGUUUGUAAAGCGGCGAACGGGCGAGGAAUACAUGGGUAACCUACCCUCGAGUGGGGAAUAACUAGCCGAAAGGUUAGCUAAUACCGCGUACGCUCCUUGGACUUCGGUUCAGGGAGGAAAGCGAUACCGUGGGUAUCGCGCUCUUGGAUGGGCUCAUGUCCUAUCAGCUUGUUGGUGAGGAACGGCUCACCAAGGCUUCGACGGGUAGCUGGUCUGAGAGGACGAUCAGCCACACUGGCACUGCGACACGGGCCAGACUCCUACGGGAGGCAGCAGUAAGGAAUAUUGCGCAAUGGGCGAAAGCCUGACGCAGCGACGCCGCGUGGGGGA
rnacentral:rRNA from 1 species